ensembl:lncRNA
AAAUAGACAGCUUUAUGGGGCUUUCCGCCUGAAAUAAACGCCCAUUGCAUAUUAACUUUUCCUGGCACACUUACCUUUGGAAAAUGUUGAAGGUACAGGUACAAGCUUUGAAAAGUAUGCACACAAUGAGGAGCUGUAAUGUCCACUUUCCAGGUAACAAGCGUUGGAGCCAUGAUGCAGGUUUUGUUGCUUUUGUUGAAACACCGGGUGAAUUGGGACGCGCAGUUCCUACAUUUGAACACAGGGGGCGCAUCACCAGUAAAAUGCAUAUAGAGUCAAAGUCCGGGUAUUUUUGCUGCGACUUCCUUUUCAAAGGUCAUUUGAGGCACAUCAAUAGAAGGAAGAGCAAGGUGUGAAGACUGAAGGAUGGUUAACACAGCUAGUCGCUGCCAGGACAAAGCUCAUG